UUAAGUGAAUAAGGGCGUACGGUGGAUGCCUAGGCACUUGGAACUGAAGAAGGACGCAACAAACGGCGAAACGCGACGGGGAGUGGUACGUACACAAAGAUCCGUCGAUAUCCGAAUGGGGAAACCCGGCAGCAGUAAUGAGCUGUCACCCAUGAGUGAAUACAUAGCUCAUGAGGGAGGUACCCGGAGAACUGAAACAUCUAAGUAUCCGGAGGAAAAGAAAAUAAGAAUGAUUCCGUAAGUAGCGGCGAGCGAACGCGGAGGAGCCCAAACCAGAUCUUGAUCUGGGGUUGUAGGACCACGAAAUGGCAAGAGCAUGGCUAAGAGAACGGCAUUGAAAGGCCGACCGGAGAGGGUGCAAGUCCCGUAACUGAAAGCAAUGUGAAGCCUAGUGGUAUCCUGAGUACGGCGAGACACGAGAAAUCUUGUCGGAAGCAGGCGGGACCAUCCGUCAAGGCUAAAUAUACCCAAGUGACCGAUAGUGAACCAGUACCGUGAGGGAAAGGUGAAAAGAACCGCGGGAGCGGAGUGAAAUAGAACCUGAAACCGUAUGCUUACAAGAAGUCAGAGCCCGUUAAAGGGUGAUGGCGUGCCUUUUGUAGAAUGAACCGGCGAGUUACGUUAUCGUGCGAGGUUAAGUAGAAGAUACGGAGCCGAAGCGAAAGCGAGUCUUAAUAGGGCGACAGUACGAUGAUGUAGACCCGAAACCGUGUGAUCUAGCCAUGACCAGGUUGAAGUUCAGGUGAAACUGAAUGGAGGACCGAACCGACCCCCGUUGAAAAGUUGGCGGAUGAGUUGUGGCUAGGGGAGAAAUUCCAAUCGAACACGGAUAUAGCUGGUUCUCCCCGAAAUAGCUUUAGGGCUAGCGUCGAGGUAGAGUCGCAUGGAGGUAGAGCACUGAAUGUACGAUGGCCCCAUCCCGGGGUACUGAGUAUAAUCAAACUCCGAAUGCCAUGAAGACGUACUCGGCAGUCAGACUGUGGGUGAUAAGGUCCAUGGUCAAAAGGGAAACAGCCCAGACCGCCAGUUAAGGUCCCAAAAUGUAUGCUAAGUGGAAAAGGAUGUGGGGAUGCACAGACAACUAGGAGGUUGGCUCAGAAGCAGCCAUCCUUCAAAGAGUGCGUAACAGCUCACUAGUCGAGUGACCCUGCGCCGAAAAUGUACCGGGGCUAAGCAUACUACCGAAGCUGCGGAUUCAACUUAAGAGUUGAGUGGUAGGGGAGCGUUGCAUGCACGUAGAAGCCGUACCGUAAGGAGCGGUGGAGAGCAUGGAAGAGAGAAUGCCGGUGUGAGUAGCGAGAUGUAGGUGAGAAUCCUACACACCGAUAGCCCAAGGAUUCCAGGGGAAGGUUCGUCCGCCCUGGGUAAGUCGGGACCUAACGCGAGGCCGAAAGGCGUAGUGGAUGGAAAACAGGCAGAUAUUCCUGUACCCGCGAUGGAAAUGAAGGAAUGACGGAGAAGGCUAGUGUGAGCCACUGAAUGGAUUGUGGUCGAAGCAUAUAGCAGGCUGACAGUGAAAUGCGUCAGCGGGAUGUAAGAUGUGACAGGUAAGGGAACGUCCUCGGACAAGUACUGAAGCACAUGAUGCCAGCUUCCAAGAAAAGUUUCUAGUAUAUUCCAUAGCGGCCCGUACCAAAACCGACACAGGUGGGCAAGGAGAGAAUCCUGAGGUGAGCGAGAGAACUGUUGCCAAGGAACUCGGCAAAAUGACUCCGUAAGUUAGCGAUAAGGAGUGCUCUUGUAAAAGAGAGCCGCAGUGAAGAGGCCCAAGCGACUGUUUAACUAAAACACAGCUCUCUGCAAAGUCGCAAGACGAAGUAUAGGGGGUGACGCCUGCCCGGUGCUGGAAGGUUAAGAGGAUUUGUCAUCCGCAAGGAGAAGCAAUGAAUUGAAGCCCCAGUGAACGGCGGCCGUAACUAUAACGGUCCUAAGGUAGCGAAAUUCCUUGUCAGGUAAG
rnacentral:rRNA from 1 species